GUGUUUCAUGAAAGGUUAGCACUCCCCUUAUAAGGAUGGAAGAGGCCCUGAUGGCCUAUACAACAUGUGUAGGGUUAAGACACUGCCACCUACUUCAUGGCAUCUAUGUUUAA
ensembl:snRNA